rnacentral:rRNA from 1 species
GACGAACGCUGGCGGCGUGCUUAACACAUGCAAGUCGAACGGAAAGACCCUGCUUUUGUGGGGUGCUCGAGUGGCGAACGGGUGAGUAACACGUGAGUAACCUGCCCUUGACUUUGGGAUAACUUCAGGAAACUGGGGCUAAUACCGGAUAGGAGCUCCUGCUGCAUGGUGGGGGUUGGAAAGUUUCGGCGGUUGGGGAUGGACUCGCGGCUUAUCAGCUUGUUGGUGGGGUAGUGGCUUACCAAGGCUUUGACGGGUAGCCGGCCUGAGAGGGUGACCGGCCACAUUGGGACUGAGAUACGGCCCAGACUCCUACGGGAGGCAGCAGUGGGGAAUAUUGCACAAUGGGCGGAAGCCUGAUGCAGCAACGCCGCGUGCGGGAUGACGGCCUUCGGGUUGUAAACCGCUUUCGCCUGUGAUGAAGCGUGAGUGACGGUAAUGGGUAAAGAAGCACCGGCUAACUACGUG